AACGAACGCUGGCGGCGUGCUUAACACAUGCAAGUCGAACGCGAAAGGGGCUUCGGCCCUGAGUAGAGUGGCGCACGGGUGAGUAACGCGUAGAUAACCUGUCCUGGUGUCUGGAAUAAUAUCUCGAAAGGGGUGCUAAUACCGGAUAUUCUUGCUUUCUAUAAGGUAUGCAAGGAAAGGUGGCCUCUGGAACAAGCUACUGCACGAGGAGGGGUCUGCGUACCAUUAGCUAGUAGGUGGGGUAAUGGCCUACCUAGGCGACGAUGGUUAGCGGGUCUGAGAGGAUGAUCCGCCACACUGGUACUGAAACACGGACCAGACUCCUACGGGAGGCAGCAGUGAGGAAUAUUGCGCAAUGGGGGCAACCCUGACGCAGCGACGCCGCGUGAGUGAGGAAGGCCUUCGGGUCGUAAAGCUCUGUCAAAGGGGAAGAAGUGCAUGGUGGUUAAUAUCUGUCAUGUUUGACGGUACCCUUAAAGGAAGCACCGGCUAACUCCGUGCCAGCCGCCGCGGUAA
rnacentral:rRNA from 1 species